UGGGGAAUUUUGGACAAUGGGCGAAAGCCUGAUCCAGCAAUGCCGCGUGUGUGAAGAAGGCCUUCGGGUUGUAAAGCACUUUUGUCCGGAAAGAAAUCCUUGGCUCUAAUACAGUCGGGGGAUGACGGUACCGGAAGAAUAAGCACCGGCUAACUACGUGCCAGCAGCCGCGGUAAUACGUAGGGUGCAAGCGUUAAUCGGAAUUACUGGGCGUAAAGCGUGCGCAGGCGGUUUGCUAAGACCGAUGUGAAAUCCCCGGGCUCAACCUGGGAACUGCAUUGGUGACUGGCAGGCUAGAGUAUGGCAGAGGGGGGUAGAAUUCCACGUGUAGCAGUGAAAUGCGUAGAGAUGUGGAGGAAUACCGAUGGCGAAGGCAGCCCCCUGGGCCAAUACUGACGCUCAUGCACGAAAGCGUGGGGAGCAAACAGGAUUAGAUACCCUGGUAGUCCACGCCCUAAACGAUGUCAACUAGUUGUUGGGGAUUCAUUUCCUUAGUAACGUAGCUAACGCGUGAAGUUGACCGCCUGGGGAGUACGUCGCAAGAUUAAAACUCAAAUGAAUUGACA
rnacentral:rRNA from 1 species